AGUGAACGCUGGCGGCGUGCUUAAGACAUGCAAGUCGAACGGCAGUCUUCGGACUGUAGCGGCGCACGGGUGAGUAACGCGUAACUGACCUACCCCAAAGUCGCGGAUAACGAUUCGAAAGAAUCGCUAAUACGUGAUGUGCUGUCAGAUUGUGUUCUGCCAGUAAAGAUUGAUUGCUUUGGGAUGGGGUUGCGUUCCAUCAGCUAGUUGGUGGGGUAAAGGCCCACCAAGGCGACGACGGAUAGCCGGCCUGAGAGGGUGGCCGGCCACAGGGGCACUGAGACACGAGUCCCACUCCUACGGGAGGCAGCAGUUAGGAAUCUUCCACAAUGGGCGAAAGCCUGAUGGAGCGACGCCGCGUGAGGGAUGAAGGUCUUCGGAUCGUAAACCUCUGAAUCAGGGACGAAAGACACUUCGGUGGGAUGACGGUACCUGAGUAAUAGCACCGGCUAACUCCGUGCCAGCCGCCGCGGUAAGAC
rnacentral:rRNA from 1 species